GGUUUAUUAGUAUAAUUAGUAUUUUUGAUUUCCAAUCGAAAGGUUAUUAAACUA
rnacentral:tRNA from 1 species